CCAGACUCCUACGGGAGGCAGCAGUGAGGAAUCUUCCACAAUGGGCGAAAGCCUGAUGGAGCAACGCCGCGUGAAGGAUGAAGGCCUUCGGGUUGUAAACUUCUUUUAUGAGUGAAGAAUAUGACGGUAACUCAUGAAUAAGCACCGGCUAACUACGUGCCAGCAGCCGCGGUCAUACGUAGGGUGCAAGCAUUAUCCGGAGUGACUGGGCGUAAAGAGUUGCGUAGGCGGUUUAAUAAGUGAAUAGUGAAACCUGGUGGCUCAACCAUACAGACUAUUAUUCAAACUGUUAAACUCGAGAGUGGUAGAGGUAACUGGAAUUUCUAGUGUAGGAGUGAAAUCCGUAGAUAUUAGAAGGAACACCAAUGGCGUAGGCAGGUUACUGGACCAUUUCUGACGCUAAGGCACGAAAGCGUGGGGAGCGAACUGGAUUAGAUACCCAGGUAGUCCACGCCGUAAACGAUGAGUGCUAAGUGUUGGUCUCAUAAGAGAUCAGUGCUGCAGCUAACGCAUUAAGCACUCCGCCUGGGGAGUACGACCGCAAGGUUGAAACUCAAAGGAAUUGACGGGGGCCCGCACAAG
rnacentral:rRNA from 1 species